CCGACCUUAGCUCAGUUGGAAGAGCACAAGACUGUAAUUGGAUUCUUGCGAUAAUCUUGGGGUCGCCUGUUCGAACCAGGCAGGUCGGA